GAUGAAGAACGUAGUGAAAUGCGAUAAGUAAUGUGAAUUGCAGAAUUCAGUGAAUCAUCGAAUCUUUGAACGCACCUUGCACCCUUUGGCAUUCCGAAGGGUAUGCUCGUUUGAGUGUCAUUGUACUCUCACACUUCCAAUCUUUGGAUUGGGAGCGGUGGACUUGGGUGUUGCUGCUUACUGUGGCUCACCUCAAAUCGAUUCGUGCACCUCUUGGUUGAACAUAGUACGGCGUGAUAAGUGUCUUCGCCGGCACCUCAGUAGAGGGUGGCUGAUCAGGAGCUCUGUGCUUCAAACCGUCCUCGGACAACAACUGACAACUUGACCUCAAAUCGAGUAGGACUACCCGCUGAACUUAAGCAUAUCAAUAAGCGGAGGA
rnacentral:misc_RNA from 1 species